UACGUAGGGGGCAAGCGUUGUCCGGAAUCAUUGGGCGUAAAGAGCGCGUAGGCGGCCCUGUACGUCCGCUGUGAAAGUCAAGGGCUCAACCCUUGGAUGCCGGUGGAUACUGCAGGGCUAGAGUCCGAUAGAGGUGAGUGGAAUUCCUAGUGUAGAGGUGAAAUUCGUAGAUAUUAGGAAGAACACCAGUGGCGAAGGCGGCUCACUGGAUCGGUACUGACGCUGAGGUGCGAAAGCGUGGGGAGCAAACAGG
rnacentral:rRNA from 1 species